GACCCCGCACAAGUAGUGGAGCAUGUGGUUUAAUUCGAAGAUACGCGCAGAACCUUACCAACACUUGACAUGUUCGUCGCGACUCUAAGAGAUUAGAGUUUUCGGUUCGGCCGGACGAAACACAGGUGCUGCAUGGCUGUCGUCAGCUCGUGUCGUGAGAUGUUGGGUUAAGUCCCGCAACGAGCGCAACCCUCACUUUUAGUUGCCAUCAUUAAGUUGGGCACUCUGAAAGAACUGCCAGUGAUAAGCUGGAGGAAGGUGUGGAUGACGUCAAGUCCUCAUGGCCCUUACGGGUUGGGCUACACACGUGCUACAAUGGUAGUGACAAUGGGUUAAUCCCAAAAAGCUAUCUCAGUUCGGAUUGUCGUCUGCAACUCGACGGCAUGAAGUCGGAAUCGCUAGUAAUCG
rnacentral:rRNA from 1 species